CCUACGGGUGGCAGCAGUGAGGAAUAUUGGUCAAUGGACGCAAGUCUGAACCAGCCAUGCCGCGUGCAGGAAGACGGCUCUAUGAGUUGUAAACUGCUUUUGUACGGGGGUAAACGCCGUUACGCGUGUCUGUCUGAAGGUAUCGCACGAAUAAGGAUCGGCUAAUUCCGUGCCAGCAGCCGCGGUAAUACGGAGGGUGCGGGCGUUAUCCGGAUUUAUUGGGUUUAAAGGGUGCGUAGGCGGUGGGGUAAGUUAGACGUGAAAUCCCGAGGCUCAACUACGGAACUGCAUCGGAUACUGGUCUGCUAGAGAGCAGGGGAGGUAGGCGGAAUGCAUGGUGUAGCGGUGAAAUGCUUAGAGAUCACGAAGAACACCGAUUGCGAAGGCAGCUUAC
rnacentral:rRNA from 1 species